UCCUCAUUCAUAUGGACAUUAUUAAAUACUUACUAUCUGUGAUGUUAGGGGCCUCAAUGCAGAGUCAUGAGAAGACACCAUCUUGCCUGAAGGAGCUCAUCUUAACUUAUUUGAUCCAGCGACAUUUGAUUAGCCAAGAACUAUAAGUUAUGCACAAUUAUAUUUGUCCUGUGGAGACAGACUGGAAUUUAUUUCUCCAGUGUAAAGCAUCGCUUAAUGGAAUGCAAGUUAUCCUUGUGCAAGGACGUGUCAGAUUUCUUGCGAAGGUGUCUCAGCACCAGUAGCCCUGGACGUGAUUUGGAAGAGCCCUAUGGACUCAGUGCCAACGCACCGAAGUUGGGAGACGUGAGCCUGAGCAAAUCAUGGUAAAAAUUAUUAAACCACAGUAACCACAGGUGAUUACUUCCUUUCUUUGGGUGGAGAAAGGGCUCUCCAGGCUCUCCCAAGCCUGCUCUCAUAGCCAUUCAGACCUGGCUCUGAAAAUCCAAAUGCUGAAAAGAACCACAUUUGAGGGGAUAAAUGGGGAAAAGUAGAGCCUGGACUAGGGUGCAGCAAAGGAGAUGGUGAAGGUACAAAAUUUAAGGAGGCGCUCAUUCACAAGGUUGCACCUCCUUAAAUAUUGCAUCUUUGGUCUCUUCCUUGCCGCACCCUAGUCCCAGCCCUGGGGACGAGGCAUAAUCUAAAUCUAGAAUAAAAGAAGUUUGUAUUUCUUCAAAUCUUCCUACUCUUUCAAGGAAAGUUCUUUUACCAUUUAGGUUGGUGAUUCUAUAAGUGAAAUUGGCCUCAAGAACACAGUGCUCCUUGCAGUGGGCUUUUCAUCAUCACAUAAGAAACUACGGAGAACUUUCCAUUUUCUUUUGUUCAGAAGGCUUCCAACUGUAUACUGUUUAGUGUGGCUUUGACACCCACUUCAACAUCUCUCUCUCAAAAGAGAGAAUCAUUUUAGGGUUAAAGGAAGCAUGGGGAGAUUUGGGCUUUCUGAGGCUGGAAUGGCUCCUCCUCAGGAAAACAGCAUCAUCAUAGCUAAUGUCCAUUCCUUCUUCUGUCAUUGCACUUUGACCCCAUAACUCCACGGGAGCUGUAUUGUUCUCAUCAUCUGUUUUUUAUAGAAGAAGCAGAAGCUCAAAGAGGUUUGGGGCUUGACCACAGCACACAGUGGUGGAGCCUGGAUUUAGCCCUAUCACUUUUUCUCCGUUAACUCCAAAUUAAAAGAAUAUAGGACCCAAAGGAAGUUGAGGAUUCUGGCUGCUGGACACUGCCUAAAAGUGCAAGGCAAUGAAAAGGCAACCAGGAGCAGCGGCUGCUGCAGGGUCGAGGUGGGGCGGCUGCUGGACCGACACUGGGGCCUGGAAGGCAGCUCCGCAUGCAGCACAGCGGAAGCCGGCCAACGGCACUGAGCACUCACUAGCCGAGGCAGGGAGUCCAGAAGUAGAGGACAAGUCGAUUGUGAUGGCCGUGUAAUGUAGAGGACGAAGGAGGCCACCUGCCACCUGAAUUAGGUGCUGCAGGAGAGGCAAGUGUCUUCUGCGAUUCUACUUUAAAUUCCUUUUCUAGAGCCCUUGGUGAUCCCAGUUCCUGACACAAACCAAAGGCUUUUUAAUCACCAGGUCAAGUGAGACCAGGUAUGUGGAAGAGACUUCUAAACAGAAAAGCCCUUAGCUUUUUCUAUUCCCAAAUUGAAUGAGGAAGUACACUUUCUCAAGGACAAGGAGAUCUCUGUAACUUUGACUCAUCUACCCCAGCCUUCGUCUACUCAGUUCUUUCAAGCUCCUGUCUAGAGGGCUGGCACGGGGACUGGGUUUUCCCAGUUUUGGGCAUCCACCUCGCUUGAUGGGAAGACAACCCCACUCACAGGCACCAAGGAGAGAAAUGGACAAAUGAAGGGAAAGUGACCAAAAUGCCGAGGGAAAAGACAACAGUGUAGCUAAACCAACAAGAAACAGGAGUCAAGAAAAAUUAACAACAAAAUGUAUUUAAAAACAGACUUCUCCAGUUGGUAUUUUGAAUGAAAUAGCUACCAAUUAACUCCAACCCCUUACAUUGUGUCUUUUGCUCCUGGAGUCCUCUUGUAGCUUUAAUUCUUGAAACUCGGGUGUCAGCACCAGACAUUAAAUCCCCUAAGGGAGAGGUAUUAUUAAACCUUUUGCUGGUCACUCUUUUCUGAACAAAAUAGGACAAAUUCCUAAGCCCUCUUAUUCAUUCAUGACGAUCAUUAGACGAAAAAAUUAAGCCAAACUUGCAUAUUGAAAAACAAAACUCAAAAAAAGAAAAAUCUUGCAGAUAAUAAAUAUCGCUGAUUCACUUAUUUUAAA